AUCCCACGGGUUCCAUUCCGGGUGCCAUAGGAGCUGGUGGUGCCAUUGGUGGUGGUGACAUGGUGGCCAUUGGUGGUGGUGACAUGGCGGCCAUUGGUGGUGGUGACAUGGCGGCCAUUGGUGGAGGAGUGGUAGUCAUUGGUGGCAUUGCCAUGGUAGAUGGUGGCAUUGUGGGGGCCAUCAUAGGAGAUUGAGCAGCAGAAAGAGCUACAAAUGUAAGGAAAAGGGAGAGAAAGAUCAUGGGACGUGAGAGAGCCAUGACUACUGAUGAUGACUCUCUUAGGAUUUGUUUCUUUUAAGAAAUAGAGGAGAGAAUUCUUGAACAAAGUGAACUCAAAGGUUGUCUUUGAGGAAGUUUGUAUUGUGCAGGUGUAUUGAAAGGUUUGAGAGCUACCUGAUAUAUA
rnacentral:lncRNA from 1 species